GGAGAGGUGGAUGAGUGGUUGAAGUCGCACGCCUGGAAAGCGUGUAUAGGUUUAUAGCCUAUCGGGGGUUCGAAUCCCCCUCUCUCCGCCA
rnacentral:tRNA from 3 species